rnacentral:lncRNA from 10 species
UAGAAGACCUUUUUUUUUUUUUUUUUUUUUUUACACAAUUACAGAAAAGCACAGAUGUGGUCCUGGCUGGAGAGGGAAGAAUCCCACUGCCCUUCUCAUUUGAGGAUCUCAAGGCACAUCAAAAAACAUCUGCUGAGGACUUGGCAAACCCUAAGAUGUCUCGGUCAAAGUUGCCCUCCCUGGAGAGUUCCAGCCCCAGUCUGCUCCAAGUUCAGUCCACACAGAGCAUUCACUGACACUCCUCAAAUCCUCCAUCAUCUGUGCAAGUGGAGUAGAUAAAGUUUAUAAGAAUCCAGGAUCUCAUCCACCACCUCUUUUCCCAUCUUUCCAUGGCAUUGGGCUCCUCCUGGGACACCUGCUUCCCUGUUUUCUGUUGCUUCCUCCUGCCUUAAGAUGGUGACAUUGAGCAGACAUGAUCAAAAGAUGUCCCCAGAAGCCAACCUUCUCUAAGCAGAGUCUGAUUCUGGGUUCUCUGAAUGCUGCCUCUCCACUACCCCACAAAGAAAGCUGAAACUGGGGAGGUUCUUGUUAAGGGAGAACAGUUUUCUUCUUGCCUUUCCUAGUGAGUUCUUUCUACCUGGAAGGUGCAUGUGUGGCCUGGAGCUGCAGCAGCCAUUUUAUGUCCACAAGGAAGUCCCAUAUCCUAAGAAAAUGAAGCAGGAAAUUAGAAGAAACUGGUAUCUUGGGUAGCUUCCUUGAUGCUUUGCGUAGCUUUGAGUUGCCUGCCCCCAACUCUUUAUUUUGUGAAAUAAAUUAUGUUUAAGCUAGAUU